AUUGAACGCUGGCGGCAUGCUUUACACAUGCAAGUCGAACGGUAACAGGCCUUCGGGUGCUGACGAGUGGCGAACGGGUGAGUAAUGCAUCGGAACGUACCCAGAGGUGGGGGAUAACGCAGCGAAAGCUGUGCUAAUACCGCAUGUGAUCUGAGGAUGAAAGCGGGGGACCGAGCAGCAAUGUUUGGCCUCGCGCCUUUGGAGCGGCCGAUGUCGGAUUAGCUAGUUGGUGGGGUAAAGGCCUACCAAGGCGACGAUCCGUAGCUGGUCUGAGAGGACGACCAGCCACACUUGGACUGAGACACGGUCCAGACUCCUCCGGGAGGCAGCAGUGGGGAAUUUUGGACAAUGGGCGCAAGCCUGAUCCAGCAAUGCCGCGUGCGGGAAGAAGGCCUUCGGGUUGUAAACCGCUUUUGGCAGGAACGAAACGGUGUCCGCUAAUACCUGGCGCUAAUGACGGUACCUGCAGAAUAAGCACCGGCUAACUACGUG
rnacentral:rRNA from 1 species